UUGCCGUCCUAUUGUGCAUCAUCAUCAUCAUCAUCAUCAUCAUCAUUAUAAUCAACUAUUGAACAUUGCUGUCUGGAGUCUUAGAACUAAUAGGGCCGGUUUCUCGGUUUCAAUGACGUAUAAGUAACCGAGAUCACGAGAUUCCCCGCACCUCUGAACGGGACGUCAGUCUGUCACAGGGUUACUCACUCCCAACCGAGUAGGCUGGAGUAACUCGGAAUGAAAUGUUUUGCUCAAGAAUAUAACGCACUACCCGGUCCGGGAAUCGAAGCUGUGAUCUUGCAACUAUAAAUGCAACACCUUAACCACUAAGCCGUACGCUUUCGCUCCUAUUUUACAGGACGGAAUUGCUGUGGAUUAUCCCAAUAAUUCGGAUCAGAAUGAGCCUCCAUUAAUAAGAAUGCAACGAGAGUAUCUUUUGGAAUAUCAUAACCUCCUAGAGUUGUAUGGACUUCAGCGGUGUGUGGAGCAGAUAAAGCAGCUGGAAAAAAGAAUCAUUGUAAAUAUUAACAAUGCCGAAAUUAACGAUGAUCUAAAUUAAAUAUGUUACUAGGGAUAUCAUAAUAACUUUGAUGAUGUAAUUAUUUUGUGACACCUCUAUAAGCAUUAGUUAAUGUGGAGUUGUAUUAAAACAUAGAAGUUUCGUUGCUGUAAAAUUGGGUAUUAAAUUAGUCUGUGUUGCAACGUUAGAGAUCUGAGCUUAUGUAACACUAGAUUGACGAAAUGCUGUAAUGUAACAAUACAAAUUAGAGCUGAAAGAGAAUUGUUCAUGUCAGAAUGAGUUGACUCACCAGGACGGUAUAACCAAUAAAAGUACUUACUAACAAUAAAAACAAUAUGAAGCACAAGGAAAUUUUACCAUUAACACAGGAAUGUAAAAGUUUUGACGCAAAUAUCAUUGGCGUACCGAUUCAAGUUAGAUAUAAAUUACAGGAGAUAGUGUUGUAUUAUAAAAAUUGCAUGACAGCCUUCUUACCAAUUGUCGCAAUUCUGUGAACCUCAAGAAGGGUUGCUGCAACGUAUGUCAUAUGUGGUUUGUCUUCCAUUGUAACAGGUCUGUUCUGAUUGGUGAUCUAAAAAAGAUAAGCAAUCACAAAAGACUUAAUUCAUACAUACAUACAUACAUACAUACAUACAUACAUACAUACAUACAUACAUAUCUCUUCGAAAAUCGAAGUAAAAGAGGAUAUCUAUGGACAACUGCUUCGAGAUCUCCAACUUCUAUAUCAUAAUAAUAAUAAUUGGAGCACUAAGUCUUGUUAGUAAAUACUUAAAGGAGAGUGUGAAUAAAUUGGAAUUUUCAAAAAGAGAAAUCGAUCAGCUAAUUCGUACAUUACAAGUGCAAUCUGUGAGUGGAACAAUAAAAAUAUGCAACACUUUUCUCAAGUUCCAAAUGUGAA